ensembl:lncRNA
AAAACAUGUUUUCUUGUUUCGCAUUGGUGGUUCACUCUACUGGGCACACAAAGGCUCAUUCAUUCCAAGUUGUUUGCUUUUUACAUCUUUUUAGCCCAGGAGCACAAAUUGCUCUCAUGUCUAUCCUGAAUCAGCUAUCCCGUCAGCCAAUCGGUCCUUUAUUUAUGCAAUUCUUGUUUUGGGUUUAGCCUCCUUGAAGCGUCCCUUCUGACACGCUUCAGAAAGUAGAAAAAGUGCUGGUAUAUUGUUGUUGUUGUUUCUUUUCUUUCAUUAACACUGGCUGAGAUGAGAAAAGAAUCUAAAAACUAUAAGCACCUCUCUGUAAUCUGUCUGUCUUCCACGCACACAUACAGCUGUGCACAUAUCCAACACAUGCUCUCCAAUCAAAACUUUCACACUGAGAGACAGCAACUGGUCAACAGGAUAUAAAACCUUACUUUUUUCUUUUUUUUCUUUUGUUCUUUAUUUCAGAAGUGACCUUUCCCCUACUUUGCUUUUUCUGCACCCAAGCUCGCUUUAGCAUUUCUGCUAUAUUUGUGGUUUUACCCAAGUUUGUCUCAUUAACGUUUUCAAACAGUGACAUUUACUUUAACCCACUACUUUAAGCUGUAAGCUGGGUCAGGUGACCCGUGUAUUUCACUUUUUAGAUUUAGGCAAACUGUUUCUGUGUUGUAACUCUGCACAGAUUUGUGCAGAUCAUUAUCGGAGUCCAGCUCAUUUGCUUUAUGCAUUAUGGCUGAGUCAUUGCCAUGUAUUUGAUGAAAGGUUCACACUGUGACGGAGAUCACUCUGCUGAGCCUCACCCCUCACCCUUCCUCUCCCUCCUGAUUGGUGUUAGUGGAAGGGAAGAUGACCAUCUGCUGCCCCAGUUGCCCAGUGACUGGACAACAGCCCUCCCUUAUGGCACAGUUCCACUGUCCAUUGUCUGCUUGAGACAAGCGAGAGAUAGUGUGUGUGUGUGUUCCAUUUUUAUGUGUGUGUGGCUUAAUCUGUCCGUGUAUAUUUGUAUGUCCUCCUCGAAGAGAGCAAAGUAUUGUG